rnacentral:rRNA from 1 species
GUAUACGCACAUUAAGGGUGGAUGGCGGAUGCCUAGACACCAUAAAGCGAUGAAGGACGUAGCGUAGCUGCGAUAAGCUUCGGUGAGGUGCGUAGCAACCUGUGACCCGAAGAUCUCCGAAUGGGGAAACCCAAUUGCGCAACCCGCAAUUAUCUUUGAUGUAACAGUCAGAGGAGCGUACCUGGGGAAGUGAAACAUCUCAGUACCCAGAGGAAUAAAGACAAAUCCUCGCAAGAGGAAUGCAUUCCCUUAGUAGCGGCGAGCGAACAGGGAGGAGCCUAAACCAUAUGAGAUUCGCGCAAGCGUUUUUUGUAGGGGGUUGUAAGAUAGAAACACUUCUUAGGUUUUUAACUUCCGAUAAUUUUCCGGGAAGUUAAAAGCUUGAGAGAAAGAGUAAAAAAUUUGCUGGCUAGCUGAAGCCGCUGGAAAGCGGCGCCAAAGCAGGUGAUAGCCCUGUAGGCGAAAGCGGGCAAACUCUUCGUUUUUAAUCUUGAGUACCUCGAGGCCAAAUAACUUCGAGGGAACCAGGGAGUACUAUCUCCUAAGGCUAAAUAUUUAUGGUGAUCGAUAGUGAACUAGUACCGUGAGGGAAAGGUGAAAAGCAGGCCGGGAGGCCGUUGAAAUAAUACCUGAAACCAUCCACUUACAAGGAACCAGAGCCCGCAAGGGUGAUGGUGUGCCUAUUGAAGAAUGAUCCAACGAGUUUAUAUGUAUUACAAAGUCUAAUCUCCUGAAGGGAGAGAAGGCGUAGCGAAAGCGAGUCUGAAUAGGGCGUUACAUUCCUUAUGACGUUUGACGGGGAUUUCCCGUCGCACGUCAUAGGCUUUGUUAGUAGUACGUGUAAGACCCGAAACCAAACGAGCUUGUCUUGGCCAGGGUGAAGUUCGCAGAAAUGCGAAUGGAGGCCCGCACCGGUACAUCGUUCAACAUGUUCGGAUGAGCUGGGACAAGGAGUGAAAAGCUAAUCGAGUUUGGUAAUAGCUGGUUCUCUCCGAAAUAGUUUUAGGACUAGCCUCGUAUGUUUCCGCCCGGAGGUAGAGCACUGGACGAUUUGUAAAGGCCGAAAGGCCGACAGAUCAAUCAAACUCCGAAUGCCGGGUGGCUAAGUACGGGAGUCAGACUGCGGGGGCUAAGCUUCGUGGUCGUAAGGGGAACAGCCCAGAUCGCCGUCUAAGGUCCCUAAAUCUUUGCUGAGUGUGAAAGGUAGUCAUUAACCAUAAACAGAUAGGAGGUUUGCUCAGAGGUAGCCAUCCUUUAAAGAGUGUGUAACAACUCACUAUUCGAGGUUAGUGGCGCCGAAAAUUUAUCGGGGCUAAGCAAAGUACCGAAGACGCGAAUACGUGGACUUCAUAGAGGAAAAAAUUUCCUCAAAAUUGUGAGGGUGAACAAGGGAGACACGCUCUUGUUUUAGAAAGGUUAUCCUUUCCCCUCACCCUAUUUGACCAGGCAAAUCAAAAUAUCAGAUUUGCCUCCUCUAUGAAGUCCAUGUGUGGUAGGAGAGCAUUUCUCAUGCAGUGAAGCAGCAGCCGCGAGGCGCUGUGGAGCGUGGGGAAGGGAAAAUGUUGGAAUGAGUAAUCGCAAAUCUCGUGAAAACCGAGAUCCCCGCAAAUCCAAGGUUUCCUCCGCAACGAAAAUCGACGGAGGGUAAGGCGGCCCUAAGGCAAUGACAAACGUCGCAGCCGAAGGACAGCUGGUUAAUACUCCAGCCCGCCGCAUGGAAGAUACCGAUGGAGUGACGAAUGAAAUAAUCUUGAGCGUCUUAUUGGUUUGACGUUCUUUGCCGCGAGAGGCGCUGUUUUGGGAAAUCCGGGCAGCUGUCUUUAAUGACGAUCCUCGACGGUCGAGAAAAGGUUUCGGUAUUACCGGAAUCGAUUUAAGAGAAGAGCGUUCCGAGAAAAACUUCUAAGGUGCGUCCGUGUGGCUCCGUACCGUAAACCGCCACAGGUGGAUGAGGCGAGUAGCCUCAGGGGAACGGGUGAUUCUUCGUUAAGGAACUCGGCAAAAAAGCUAGGCGUAACUUAGGAAUAUGCCUCGCCUUCGUCCGCAAGGAUGGAAGGCCUCAGCUAAAGUUUAUUUGGCGACUGUUUACCAAAAACACAACUCCCUGCGAACUCGAAAGAGGAUGUAUAGGGGGUGACACCUGACCGAUGCGAGAAGGUUAACGGUGGGGGUGCGGGCCGCAAGGUUCGUGCUCACCGCCCGAAGCCCUCGUCAAUGUCCGCGGUAACUAUAACCGUGUUAAAGUAGCGCAAUUCCUUUUCGGGUAAGUUCCGAAGCGCAUGAAAGGUGUAACGAUCAAAUAACUGUCUCAACGAAGAGCCCGAUGAAAAUGCGAUCCCCGUGAAGACGCGGGAUACCGGCAGCUAGACGAAAAGACCCCGGAAGCUUUACUGUAGCUUGGUAUUGUUACUAAUGGUCUGUUGCGUAGCGUAGUGGGUAGACUUUGAAGGUUCGAUUUCGGUUGGACUGGAGUCAACAAUGAAACACCCAUCUUUAGAUUGUUAGUAACUAACCUGCGUGGAAAAACCAUGCGGGAACAGUGCCUGGCGGGCAGUUUUUCUGGGGCAGAACCCUCCCAAAGCGUAAUGGAGGGGCCUAUUAAGGUUGGCUUAGCGCGGAUGGAAAUCGCGCUGGACGUGUAAAGGCACAAGCCAGCUUGACUGCAAGACUUACAAGUCGCGCAGGUGCGAAAGCAGAGCUUAGCGACCCGACGAUCCUUCAUAGGAAGGUCGGAGACAACGGCUAAAAGUUACUCCGGGGAUAACAGGCUGGUGAGAUCCGAGAGUCCCUAUCGACGAUCUCGCUCGGCACCUCGAUGUCGGCUCACCACAUCCCGGGGCUGGAGAAGGUCCCAAGGGUUUGGCUGUUCGCCAAUUAAAGUGGUACGUGAGCUGGGUUCAAACCGUUGAUGUGCUAAUCAAAAUUCUAUGCGGAAAAAUACGAUUGGCGCAUGAACGGUUUGAGUCCAGAACUCAAACAUCGAUUAUUGUUUUUGUCUUUUCGUUUAUGAAAAAGUUAUAGCAGAUGAAUCAAGUCACGGCGGUUAUAUAGGGUAACCUAUAUAUACCAAGCUAACUAAUAUCGGUGAAACCCAUCGCUGGGGCAAUACCGAGGGAAAUCUUUUUAAGAUGCCCGUAGAGACUAGACGUUAGCCCCCCGAUUUAUUUCGGGACGAAGAUAUAGUCCUAUGCACGCAGUAAUGCGUGGUAACAUGCGUGAGACAGGUUGGUCUCUAUCUGCUGUCGGCGUGGAUACUUGAGGGAAGUCGUCUCUAGUACGAGAGGACCGAGAUGAACGAACCUCUGGUCUACCGGCUUUGGUACCAACUGAAGCGCCGGGUAGCUAUGUUCGGACGGGAUAAGCGCUGAAAGCAUCUAAGCGCGAAGCCUCUCCCAAGAUUAGGUAUCAUGAGUCCGUUGAAGACUACGACGUUGAUAGGCUCUAGGUGUAAGCGCGGUAACGCGUUAAGCCGAGGAGUACUAAUAGACUCACGCGUAUGCUC